GCCAGACUCCUACGGGAGGCAGCAGUGGGGAAUAUUGCACAAUGGGGGAAACCCUGAUGCAGCAACGCCGCGUGAGUGAGGAAGUAUUUCGGUAUGUAAAGCUCUAUCAGCAGGGAAUAGAAAAGAAGGUACCUGAAAAAGAAGCCCCGGCUAACUUCGUGCCAGCAGCCGCGGUAAUACGAAGGGGGCAAGCGUUAAUCGGAAUUACUGGGCGUAAAGCGCUCGUAGGCGGUAUGUCAAGUCAAGGGUGAAAUCCCCGCGCUCAACGUGGGAACUGCCUUUGAAACUGGCAAACUGGAGUGUGUGAGAGGAUAGUGGAAUUCCAGGUGUAGGAGUGAAAUCCGUAGAUAUCUGGAGGAACAUCAGUGGCGAAGGCGACUAUCUGGCACAUAACUGACGCUGAGGAGCGAAAGCGUGGGUAGCAAACAGGAUUAGAUACCCUCAUAU
rnacentral:rRNA from 1 species